rnacentral:rRNA from 1 species
AUUGAACGCUGGCGGCAGGCCUAACACAUGCAAGUCGAACGAGUGGCGGACGGGUGAGUAAUGCAUGGGAAACUGGCUGAUGGAGGGGGAUAACGACGGGAAACGGUAGCUAAUACCGCGUACCAUAGGAUGAGCCCAAGUGGGAUUAGGUUGUUGGUGGGGUAACGGCUUACCAAGGCGACGAUCCCUAGCUGGGCUGAGAGGAUGAGCAGCCACACCGGGACGGAGCCACGGCCCGGACGCCUACGGGAGGCAACAGUGGGGAAUAGUGCGCAAUGGUGGCAACCCUGACUCAGCCAUGCCGCGUGAAUGAAGAAGGCCUUCGGGUUGUAAAGUUCUUUCUGUGACGAGGCGUUAUCCACAGAAUAAGCACCGGCUAACUCCGUGCCAGCAGCCGCGGUAAUGC